rnacentral:rRNA from 1 species
CAGUAGCCGCGGUAAUACGUAGGGUGCAAGCGUUAAUCGGAAUUACUGGGCGUAAAGCGUGCGCAGGCGGCUAUGCAAGACAGAUGUGAAAUCCCCGGGCUCAACCUGGGAACUGCAUUUGUGACUGCAUGGCUAGAGUACGGUAGAGGGGGAUGGAAUUCCGCGUGUAGCAGUGAAAUGCGUAGAUAUGCGGAGGAACACCGAUGGCGAAGGCAAUCCCCUGGACCUGUACUGACGCUCAUGCACGAAAGCGUGGGGAGCAAACAGGAUUAGAUACCCGAGUAGUCCCUGUCUCUUAUAC